UACGUAGGGGGCAAGCGUUAUCCGGAUUUACUGGGUGUAAAGGGUGCGUAGGUGGCAGGGCAAGUCAGAUGUGAAAGCCCGGGGCUCAACCCCGGUAUUGCAUUUGAAACUGUCCGGCUGGAGUGCAGGAGAGGUAAGCGGAAUUCCUAGUGUAGCGGUGAAAUGCGUAGAUAUUAGGAGGAACACCAGUGGCGAAGGCGGCUUACUGGACUGUAACUGACACUGAGGCACGAAAGCGUGGGGAGCAAACAGG
rnacentral:rRNA from 1 species